rnacentral:rRNA from 1 species
GCCAGACUCCUACGGGAGGCAGCAGUGAGGAAUAUUGGUCAAUGGGCGCAGGCCUGAACCAGCCAAGUCGCGUGAGGGAAGACUGACCUAUGGGUUGUAAACCUCUUUUAUAAGGGAAGAAUAAUGACUACGUGUAGUCAGAUGCCCGUACCUUAUGAAUAAGCAUCGGCUAACUCCGUGCCAGCAGCCGCGGUAAUACGGAGGGGGCAAGCGUUAUCCGGAUUUACUGGGUGUAAAGGGAGCGUAGACGGCGGCGCAAGUCUGGAGUGAAAGCCCGGGGGCCAACCCCGGGACUGCUCUGGAAACUGCGGCGCUGGAGUACGGGAGGGGCAGGCGGAAUUCCUGGGGUAGCGGUGAAAUGCGUAGAUAUCAGGAGGAACACCGGCGGCGAAGGCGGCCUGCUGGACCGUGACUGACGUUGAGGCUCGAGAGCGUGGGGAGCAAACAGGAUUAGAUACCCCAGUAC